UGAGAACGGGGUGGCCCUCACCCGCACCUCCAGCGACCCCAACCUCAACAAGCACUGUCAGGAGGGCCGUACUGCCCAUGGCCUGGAGCCUAUGGCUUCUGUAGGAGGAGGGGCCGCACCCGACAGCCCCGAGGACGUCAGCCCUGACACGGGAUUGGAAAGCGACGACUCGGAGGUGGAGCCUGUCACUCAGACUCCUCCUACCACACCCGUGGAGAUGGAGCAGAGGGAAGAGGGCUUCGAGGAGGCGGAGAUGAGAGAGGAGAUCUGUCUCACCACCCAGCCCCUCCCCCCCAUUUGUCUGGAGCAGGGCAACCCCCACUUCCCCCCUCUCCCCCUGCUCACACCCCUCCUCCACCAGGCCCUCUCCCAGACCACUAACCCCCCAGUUCCUCCCCCUCGACUGCCACAUCAGACGGCUGACAGUCACUCCAGGACUACCUCGGUCACUACCCGUCCUGCCUGCAUACCAUCACCACCUGCCUGGAAGGGCCCGCUACCGGCAGCCGUUCUGAACGGGCCUAUCACCAACGGCCUCCAGAACGCCCCCUCCGCUUCUGCAGAGAUGCCGGCACUCGAGCAGCUAGUUCCCACGUUCCCUACGGCCAUGGAGGACUCCACCGAGACGCUCACGGACGAAGCAGAGGUCCCACCAACGCUGCCCCCUAGAAUCAGAGAAAGUCUAGGCCAACCCAAAGCCACAGAAUGGGCCUUACCCGAGACCCAGGGAGAGGAGAGCGAGGGGAAGAGGACCGAGAGUGUGUGUGGUAGAAACUUAGUGCCUCUGAGAGAGUGUGUGGUAGCAGUACCAACAUCAAAAGAAGCAGCAUCCUCCGCCUCCACAGUGCCCCCUGUUGACAACAGCCAGGCUGUGGCAUUGCGACGCCCGGUCUCCCAGAACCAACUGCGUGUCAGUGAGGAGCUGUCUCUGCUGGGCUCUCACUGGGACAGUGUCCAGGGCAGCCCUUCAGCCCACGGCCUACCAGAGCCGACGCCUGGCUGGCAAGCUACUGCGCACCCAGGGCAUGGCCGUGCCUAACGGGGGUUGGCAGUACGGCCGAAGGGAGAGGGAGGAAAGGGUUCGCUCCUCGGCUCCAGCCCCAGUCAGCUCCAGCCCUGUCAAGUCAGGGUCCAGCUGGCUCUCUGCAGUCAGAACCAGCUCGGGCUACGCUGCCAUCAUGGGCCCAACCACCACCAGCUCACCCUCUACCUUUUCAACCUGCCAACUCCUCCCAGCCUCUCCUUGCUCCUCAGCCUCCCCCCAGCCCCACCCGGCCUAUCUGGAUGAUGAUGGUCUGCCGGUGCCUGUGGACGCCGUGCAGCAGCGCCUCAGGCAGAUGGAGGCGGGGUAUAAACAGGAAGUGGAGGUGCUGAGAAGCCAGGUGCGCCAGCUGCAGAUGAGGCUGGAGAGGAAACAGUACAGCACGCCGCCCUCCGAGCCUGACGUCGACUACGAGGACGACAUUGUGAGUAGCUGUCCUACCUGGACUUUGAACAGUACCUCAAUGUGUUAUUAUUGUGUUGUGAAAGGAUAUGCAUGUAGGUCAUUACUAAAUACUUCAUAAUUACAACCCAAAUGUCAACUCUGGUGGAAUUACACUUCAAUAGAGAGAGUAAUAGCCAGUAACCAAAACGGUGCACGUCACCCUCCUUCCCUCCCUCCCUCUCGUCACCCUCCCUCACUCCCUCACUCCCUCUCGUCACCCUCCCUACCACUCUUCACCCUCCCUCCCUCCCUCUCGUCACCCUCCCUCACUCCCUCCCUCCCUCUCGUCACCCU
rnacentral:lncRNA from 13 species